rnacentral:rRNA from 1 species
AGUGAACGCUGGCGGUAGGCCUAACACAUGCAAGUCGAACGGCAGCACAGUAAGAGCUUGCUCUUACGGGUGGCGAGUGGCGGACGGGUGAGGAAUACAUCGGAAUCUACUUUUUCGUGGGGGAUAACGUAGGGAAACUUACGCUAAUACCGCAUACGACCUACGGGUGAAAGCAGGGGAUCUUCGGACCUUGCGCGAUUGAAUGAGCCGAUGUCGGAUUAGCUAGUUGGCGGGGUAAAGGCCCACCAAGGCGACGAUCCGUAGCUGGUCUGAGAGGAUGAUCAGCCACACUGGAAGUGAGACACGGUCCAGACUCCUGCGGGAGGCAGCAGUGGGGAAUAUUGGACAAUGGGGGCGAGCCUGAUCCAGCCAUACCGCGUGGGUGAAGAAGGCCUUCGGGUUGUAAAGCCCUUUUGUUGGGAAAUAAAAGCAGCAGGUUAAUACCCCGCUGUUCUGACGGUACCCAAAGAAUAAGCACCGGCUAACUUCGUG